CCAUCAGUGAGUCACAUUUAGUAAACAUUUCCAAAGUAAAGAUAUUACAAUAUGUUGACAUUUGUGUAUAAUUGCUAAAUCCCAUAAACAUAAUUGACAUGGAAAUUAAAUGCAGCAGAUUACUGUCCCUUCCUGGCAAGCUGAUUUCUGCAAAGAGGGUAUUUCCUAGAUAUCAAUUAAAAUGUGUAAAUUUGACCCAUGAACACAUUUAAUAGAUGAGAGAAGGACUUGUUUAAUGUCUUGUUGUCUUUAUAGGAACGGUGAUAAAUCAUCAUUACAUCUUCUUUGAGUAUUGUAGAUCUGAGGUGGUCAGGAGGGCAAUAAAUUCAAAAAGGGGUAUAAGGCAGAUUGAAAAGGCUCCUGAAAAGAGGAUCUUUUGGAAGCCAUGCAACACCUGGUUGUAUAGGGACCUUUUACUGACCGGUGUCACGCUAUCUGACAAAAUAUUCUUUGGUCACCAUUAGUCUUCAGUUUUUUCGGUGCACGUUGACUUCCAGUCAGUCUACGUGAACUCCUGUACAUCUGUAACUUGAUUUAAGCUAUCAAACAUUUCAUUUUGAUAAUACCUAAUGCUGAAACUGACAUCUCUGUGACCUGAAGUACACCUCAGUGACACCAAGCAAACUAUUUUUUAAUUAUCUCUUU